CAUCGAUGAGAACGCAGCAAAAUGCGAUAAGUAAUGUGAAUUGCAGAAUUCAGUGAAUCAUCGAAUCUUUGAACGCACAUUGCGCCCGCCAGUAUUCUGGCGGGCAUGCCUGUUCGAGCGUCAUUUCAACCCUCAAGCCCCCGGGUUUGGUGUUGGGGAUCGGGCUGCGGUUCUGCCGCGCCCCGGCCCCGAAAUCUAGUGGCGGUCUCGCUGCAGCCUCCAUUGCGUAGUAGCUAACACCUCGCAACUGGAACGCGGCGCGGCCAAGCCGUUAAACCCCCAACUUCUGAAUGUUGACCUCGGAUCAGGUAGGAAUACCCGCUGAACUUAAGCAUAUCAU
rnacentral:rRNA from 1 species